CAGCCGCCGCGGUAAUACAGAGGGUGCGAGCGUUAAUCGGAAUUACUGGGCGUAAAGCGUGCGUAGGCGGUGAGUUAAGUCUGCUGUGAAAUCCCCGGGCUCAACCUGGGAAUGGCAGUGGAUACUGGCUCGCUAGAGUGUGUCAGAGGAUGGUGGAAUUCCCGGUGUAGCGGUGAAAUGCGUAGAGAUCGGGAGGAACAUCAGUGGCGAAGGCGGCCAUCUGGGACAACACUGACGCUGAGGCACGAAAGCGUGGGGAGCAAACAGGAUUAGAUACCCCAGUAGUCCCUGUCUCUUAUAC
rnacentral:rRNA from 1 species